UGGAAUAUUAGUCUUACCAGGGAUGCAAAUGAUUGGGAAGUAAAUGACUUGCUGGAGUUUAUGAAUUUACUGUACAGCUUGCCCAUUGCUGCCACAACUGAAGAUGUGAUGGUUUGGAGGCCGAAUAGAAAGGGGAAAUUCUCGCACUAGGGAAGAUCUUGACCACUGACAAUCUUAGAAGACGUGGCCUUAUUAUUGUGGACUGGUGCUGUUUGUGUAGAAACAAUGGAGAGACAGUGGACCACAUACUCCUACACUGUAAGUUCGCAAGUGAGAUAUGGAACUACUUCUUCAACAGAAUGGGAAUAGCAUGGGUAAUGCCAGGUCGGGUGGUGGAGCUUUUAGCAAGCUGGCGAGGAAUCUCCGGGACUCCGCAAAUUGCAUCUUUGUGGAGGAUGGCUCCAAUUUGUAUUUUUUGGUGUAUUUGGAAUGAAAGAAAUGAGAGACUUUUCGAGGAUCAUGAACGUUCCUCGGAAGAGUUUCAGAGUUUCUUAUGGAAGACUUUAUUUCUGUGGGCCAUGGCUUUAGACUUUAAUGGCCUAAGCUUCCAUGAUUUUCUUGCUUCUGUCUCUAGUUCCUAAAUAGGUGUAUGCUCAUGUAUACCUCCAGUGUACCUGGGCUAUGCCCAUCUUUAUCUUAAUAAAGCUUUCUAUUACCUAUCAAAAAAAAAA